GACGAACGCUGGCGGCGUGCCUAAUACAUGCAAGUCGAACGCUUCUUUCCUCCCGAGUGCUUGCACUCAAUUGGAAAGAGGAGUGGCGGACGGGUGAGUAACACGUGGGUAACCUACCCAUCAGAGGGGGAUAACACUUGGAAACAGGUGCUAAUACCGCAUAACAGUUUAUGCCGCAUGGCAUAAGAGUGAAAGGCGCUUUCGGGUGUCGUUGAUGGAUGGACCCGCGGUGCAUUAGCUAGUUGGUGAGGUAACGGCUCACCAAGGCCACGAUGCAUAGCCGACCUGAGAGGGUGAUCGGCCACACUGGAACUGAGACACGGCCCAGACUCCUACGGGAGGCAGCAGUAGGGAAUCUUCGGCAAUGGACGAAAGUCUGACCGAGCAACGCCGCGUGAGUGAAGAAGGUUUUCGGAUCGUAAAACUCUGUUGUUAGGGAAGAACAAGGACGUUAGUAACUGAACGUCCCCUGACGGUAUCUAACCAGAAAGCCACGGCUAACUACGUG
rnacentral:rRNA from 1 species